CAUGGUUGCUGAAUCGUGUCUUGUCCAGCUGCUGAAGACUUGCCAAACAUGUCUAACGAACCGUACACAGGUGACUUUCACGUGUAAAGGGUCAAUGCUGCGUGCCUGCGUGACCUGCCCUGAGGGCCAUGAAAUGAUAUCGUGCAGCCAGCCACUGGUCGGUGACAAGCCGCUUGGCAACAUUGUCAUGAGUGCUGCAAUUUGGUUUGCUGGAUGCAGCCGUGCAAAAAUGCUCAGGUUGUUCAACUUCAUGCGACUUGCCAGCAUCAAGUAUACACAGUAUUUCCAGAUCCAACGCUGCUACUUGUUUCCCGCUAUUGAAGCUUCAUGGAGGGCUGAGCAAGCUGACCUUCUCCACAACGUGAGGCAAAGACAAGCAGUCCUUGCUGGCGAUGGAAGAUGUGAUUCCACCGGUCACAACGCAUUCAUGGGGACCUACACACUGCUUGAAGCCCCAUCAAAUCGGAUCUUGCACUUCGAGUUACUGACGUCACCUGAAGUUGGCUGUAGCAACCGGAUGGAAAAAAGGGGCCUACAACUGGCUCUCGAGUAUCGUCUGGAGAAAGGUGUCAACAUUGAC